rfam:Sus scrofa granulocyte-colony stimulating factor mRNA, complete cds.
CUAAGGGUGCCCACCUGGGGCCUUGGAAGCAUUGGGAAGUCUCCCACGUGGGAGACAAGACAGCCCUGUUUAAUAUUUAAACAGCAGUGUUCCCC